AUGGAAGGGAACACUAGAGGAGGUGGGCAUUCUGACGCAUUAAAGAACUACAAUGUGGGCAGAACAUUAGGUAUAGGCACAUUUGGAAAAGUGAGGAUUGCAGAGCAUAAGCAUACAGGGCACAAAGUUGCUAUAAAGAUUCUGAACCGUCGUCAAAUGAGAACUUUGGAAAUGGAAGAGAAAGCAAAGAGAGAGAUCAAGAUAUUGAGGUUGUUCAUCCACCCUCAUAUCAUCCGGCUUUAUGAGGUCAUUUACACACCUACAGAUAUAUUUGUUGUGAUGGAAUAUUGCAAGUAUGGUGAGCUAUUCGACUGCAUUGUUGAGAAAGGGCGGUUACAGGAAGAUGAGGCUCGUCGAAUCUUCCAGCAGAUUAUAUCUGGUGUUGAAUACUGCCACAGAAACAUGGUUGCUCAUCAUGAUCUAAAGCCAGAGAACCUGUUACUUGAUUCCAAAUACAAUGUGAAUCUUGCCGACUUUGGGUUAAGUAAUGUCAUGCAUGAUGGCCAUUUUCUGAAGACUGCCUGCGGGAGUCCAAACUAUGCUGCACCAGAGGUUAUCUCACGUAAAUUAUAUGCUGGACCUGAGGCUGAUGUUUGGAGCUGCGGGGUGAUACUUUAUGCUCUUCUUUGUGGCACUCUUCCAUUUAAUGAUGACAAUAUUCCCAAACUGUUCAAAAAGAUAAAGGGAGGCAUCUAUACCCUUCCAAGUCAUUUAUCUGCUCUUGCAAGGGAUUUGAUCCCAAGAAUGCUUGUUGUUGAUCCUAUGAAGAGAAUCACAAUUCGGGAAAUUCGAGAACACCCAUGGUUUCAGAAUCGCUUUCCUCGCUACCUGGCAGUGCCUCCACCAGACACGGCGCAGCAAGCCAAAAUGAUUGAUGAAGAUACACUUAAAGAGAUUGUCAACCUGGGGUAUGAUAAAGACCAUGUGUGUGAAUCAUUGUGCAAUAUGCUGCAAAAUGAGGCAACUGUUGCAUAUUACUUACUCUUGGACAAUCGGUUCCGUGCCACUAGUGGCUAUUUGGGGGCUGACUAUCUACAAUCAAUGGAGUUUUAA
rnacentral:rRNA from 1 species